GGUCCCGGGGUCAAGGGUAGGAAGGCACGAGCGACAGACUUGCACUCGGCUUGCCGAUUACAAGUCCCCGUAACCGAACGUACAAACGCUCACCUUAGGUCUGAGGGCACACGGAAGGACUCGGUCAUUUCAACCGUGACAGUGAAAGUGACCGGAUAGGAGUUCUUGGUUUUUGCUUCGCGUCUUUCAGUGUUCAAGUCCAAGAUAGGAACAAGUAGUGCCAGUGUGCGAACGUGUGCCGUGUGCGUUAAGAAGGAGAACCCCAGGUAAAUUGGAACCCUUUGAAUCCCCUCAAUCCCCGGAUUUCCAACUCACGGCCAUGGAACAGUCGUUCGGCGGCCCUCUUACACCCCGAUAGAACUGGUGCGUCGGCACCCGCACUGUUGGUGUUCCAGCAUCCCCAUCCGUGCCCGCAGGAUCCACUUUCCAUCGUCCCGGUUGAAAAACCCCCCCGGUAGGACGCCGUCCGGAAGAGGGCUGCGCACGUUACCAUCGCGCCCUGAACACGCCCAUCCACCACGCGCGUGGCCAACGUACACCCAUUUGCGCGUCGGCCAGCUAACCCCGCCGAGAGCGCCGUGAGCAGGACGCCCACCUGGCGUCGACCUUCAUCGGAGAGCGCGUGAACUAAGUUCAUCGCGCCACGCGGAUAGAUAUCGAGUUGCCGCCGGAAGCCGGCAGGCACGACGCUGAGGCGUCUCGAGAGAAGCAGCACACCGAGUCGAGAGAAGAGCAGCAUUGAGCGUCAGGAGCAUCGCCGAGCGUCGCAGAGCAUCCCGGGAGUUCACCGAUCGUCGCACCACGUGCGGUCCCCGUUCUUGUGAGAGAGGUUAGGUUGCAAACCGCCUAACCAAGCAGUGAGUACAACUCCCCCCCUGAGACUAUCUCCAUGCGCAUGUGAAUUUGGGGUUUUAGCGAAGACACGCACCACUAAGGGCUCGGCCGAGCCAAGAAACGAACGAAAAACGCACACGUAGGGAAAAUCCAGCUAGCUAUGUUUCGGGAACAUUCAGAUUAGAGGCCUCAACUAUAACUAUGCUAAUCCUAGGUUAAUUUGUAGUUUACGAUCGUACCGCUGUAAUAAAAUCAUGCUUUGCAGUACCGUGUUUCCUCUA